GUCCAGACUCCUACGGGAGGCAGCAGUGGGGAAUAUUGCACAAUGGGGGAAACCCUGAUGCAGCGACGCCGCGUGAGUGAAGAAGUAUUUCGGUAUGUAAAGCUCUAUCAGCAGGGAAGAAAAUGACGGUACCUGACUAAGAAGCCCCGGCUAACUACGUGCCAGCAGCCGCGGUAAUACGUAGGGGGCAAGCGUUAUCCGGAUUUACUGGGUGUAAAGGGAGCGUAGACGGCAUGGCAAGUCAGAUGUGAAAGCCCGGGGCCCAACCCCGGGACUGCAUUUGAAACUGUCAGGCUGGAGUGCAGGAGAGGUAAGUGGAAUUCCUAGUGUAGCGGUGAAAUGCGUAGAUAUUAGGAGGAACACCAGUGGCGAAGGCGGCUUACUGGACUGUAACUGACGCUGAGACACGAAAGCGUGGGGAGCAAACAGGAUUAGAUACCCCCGUA
rnacentral:rRNA from 1 species